CAGUCGCCGCGGGAAAACGAAGGGGGCUAGCGUUGUUCGGAAUUACUGGGCGUAAAGCGCACGUAGGCGGACAUUUAAGUCAGGGGUGAAAUCCCGGGGCUCAACCCCGGAACUGCCUUUGAUACUGGGUGUCUAGAGUAUGGAAGAGGUGAGUGGAAUUCCGAGUGUAGAGGUGAAAUUCGUAGAUAUUCGGAGGAACACCAGUGGCGAAGGCGGCUCACUGGUCCAUUACUGACGCUGAGGUGCGAAAGCGUGGGGAGCAAACAGGAUUAGAUACCCCCGUAGUCCCUGUCUCUUAUAC
rnacentral:rRNA from 1 species